rnacentral:rRNA from 1 species
AGCAGCCGCGGUAAUUCCAGCUCCAAUAGCGUAUAUUAAAGUUGUUGCAGUUAAAAAGCUCGUAGUUGAAUUUCGGGAUCAAUAUGUCGGUCGUGCCUUCGGUACGUACUGGUAUCAUUGGUCUCUCCUUUCUGACGAACCAUGAUGUCAUUAAUUUGGUGUUAUGGGGAGUUAGGACUGUUACUUUGAAAAAAUUAGAGUGUUUAAAGCAGGCUUUAGCUUGAAUACAUUAGCAUGGAAUAAUGAAAUAGGACGUUCGAACCUAUUUUGUUGGUUUCUAGGAUCAACGUAAUGAUUAAUAGGGAUAGUUGGGGGCAUUAGUAUUCAAUUGUCAGAGGUGAAAUUCUUGGAUUUAUUGAAGACUAACUACUGCGAAAGCAUUUGCCAAGGAUGUUUUCAUUAAUCAAGGACGAAAGUUAGGGGAUCGAAGACGAUCAGAUACCGUCGUAGUCUUAACCAUAAACUAUGCCGACUAGGGAUCGGAUGAUGUUAAUUUAAUGACUCA